GACAGAGGGUGCAAACGUUGUUCGGAUUUACUGGGCGUAAAGCGCGUGUAGGCGGCUUUGCAAGUCGGAUGUGAAAGCCCACGGCUCAACCGUGGAAGUGCAUCCGAAACUGCAUGGCUUGAGUCUCGGAGAGGAAGGUGGAAUGCUUGGUGUAGAGGUGAAAUUUGUAGAUAUCAAGCAGAACACCUGCGGCGAAGGCGGCCUUCUGGACGAUGACUGACGCUGAGACGCGAAAGCGUGGGGAGCAAACAGG
rnacentral:rRNA from 1 species